GAUGAAGAACGUAGCGAAAUGCGAUAGGUAAUGUGAAUUGCAGAAUUCAGUGAAUCAUCGAAUCUUUGAACGCACAUUGCGCCCCUUGGUAUUCCGAGGGGCAUGCCUGUUCGAGCGUCAUUUCAACCCUCAAGCACAGCUUGGUCUUGGGCUUCGCCGCUAACCCGGCGGGUCUUAAAAUCAGUGGCGGUGCCGUCGGGCCCUGAGCGCAGUAAUCUCUCUCGCUAUAGGGUCCCGGCGGAUGCUGGCCAGUAACCCCCAAUUUUCUAUGGUUGACCUCGGAUCAGGUAGGACUACCCGCUGAACUUAAGCAUAUCAAUAAGCGGAGGA
rnacentral:misc_RNA from 1 species